UGGGGAAUAUUGGACAAUGGGCGAAAGCCUGAUCCAGCCAUGCCGCGUGAGUGAUGAAGGCCCUAGGGUUGUAAAGCUCUUUUGUGCGGGAAGAUAAUGACGGUACCGCAAGAAUAAGCCCCGGCUAACUUCGUGCCAGCAGCCGCGGUAAUACGAAGGGGGCUAGCGUUGCUCGGAAUCACUGGGCGUAAAGGGUGCGUAGGCGGGUUUCUAAGUCAGAGGUGAAAGCCUGGAGCUCAACUCCAGAACUGCCUUUGAUACUGGAAGUCUUGAGUUCGGGAGAGGUCAGUGGAACUGCGAGUGUAGAGGUGAAAUUCGUAGAUAUUCGCAAGAACACCAGUGGCGAAGGCGGCUCACUGGCCCGAUACUGACGCUGAGGCACGAAAGCGUGGGGAGCAAACA
rnacentral:rRNA from 1 species